ensembl:lncRNA
CGUCUCUUUGCUGGCCUCAGGAUCGCUGUCAUCAGUCAAGGCUGCCGGAGGGUUGUUUUCACGAGUUCUCUCAAAUGCUGCAGGAGCUUAGGAACAGGUGACCUGAACUUGAGACUUCCUGACCUGGUCUCUGAAUGAAAUAAGAGGAGGUGACAGGCUCUGUACCAGCAACUUUUGUGUCCCCUGAGGGUGGGGAUCCUGUGAGGCCGGGGAAGCACAAUUGUCCUGUCCCUGGGCACGAGGCCAGCUGCAGCGAGACAGGUUCACAGGUGGAGGGGUGAUCACGGAAGGGCGUGCCCGGGCUUUGGAAAACUGGAGAAAGUUGGUCCUUGGAUGGGGUGUGGAAAGAACAUGAGCUAUGGGUGGGGAGGAGCCAGGAUGAUUGACAGCUCUGAGCAGUGAAGGAAAAACUGUCUCCCCAAGUAGAGAUCUGAGGUUUCCACAGUACAGUAGGAGCUGAGUCUGUCACAUGGACUGGGUGGUCACCUGGCACAUUCCAGCAAAAGUGCUGCCCCCUGGAAGCCAAGGCCAUCCAUGCAGUUGAGCCAGUGGCCACUACAAGAUUUUGAAUUUUGAGGCAAUGAUUCCACAAAGGGCAUUAUAAACAGUUUGCAUCCACUUGCCUUCCUAGAAAACAGGAGCUGCCUUCGAGAUCUGUUCUGGCAUUGGAAGCAUCCCAAGGUUUCCAGGGUGUGAAUACUGACUUGUCAACCAAAGGGCACGCUCCUCAUUCUCUCAAUGCCUAUCCUGCCUCUUCCAACCCAGGGUUGUGCCACCAUUUUAUCCAUUAAGCCCAGCCCCUGCCUUGUCAGUCCCACCCCAAUACACCAAGGACACUGAACUGGGGUUCUGCAGCAUCUUUGCUGAAAAAAAAUGAAAGGAUAGUUUCAAUCCCAUAGCCCCUGUCAUCACCUCUCAUCACACUCUACUGCCAUGAUCUCCUGAAGCAUGUGAACCUCCGUGACCUCCCUCACAAAUGUCCCCAGGCAUUGCUGAUGUGGCUGCAUAGCAUGGAUGGUCAGGAGACUGUCCAGUGAAUCUUGCAAACUCCUCCUCCCCCAACCUCAGCCAGGAGAUCACUCCUGGGUGAAGUCCUCCCAUCUCAAGCACAGUGAGGCUGUGGGUUGCAGGCUUCAGGACUGGCAUUCCUCUUGGGUAAAGCUUGCCCAUCUGCCACUCAAGAAGACUUUGAAAGUUUGAGUGGGGACCUCAUCUUAUUUACCUUGUCUUCAGUGCCCAGGAUGGUGUAAACAACACCCAGCACAUGUGGUAGGCUGAAUGGAAUGAGCUAACGGAACAGUCAAUGCCCUGACUAGCCCCACUUCCCCCUGAGGAACAGAGCAUUUUGCCUCUCACUAAGUGACUUUCACAAUUCCCCCAUAAGGCCUAGUCUAAGGACACAUAAUUCUUGUCUUGCUGACAGUUCCCAACAGGAUCCUAGAGAGGCUGUUGGUGUGCUAUGGAGAAUACCCCAAACCUCUUCCUUGCCCAUCUCGCUUACAGAGUUGAGCUGCCAGGUGAGUCCACCAGGGGCCCCACUGGGUACAAGAGGAUGACAAUGGCUGCCCCUGGCCCAUUUGCCCACCUGUCUUGUAGACAAGAGGCCUCUGUUCUUUGUCUCAGCAGAAGCCAGUCCAGAGCUCGCACUCUGGGCUCAGAGAUCCCCAGUGCCUAUCAGUCUAUUCACCUUCCAGCUCAUGUGAGAACUGUGAAGCCUCCACUUCCUCAAAUACCCACAGCACUGGGCUUUUGCGGGUUGUGAAUGAGAGAAGGCAAUGGUCAGGAAGAUGCUCUGCUCUCCCCGGGAGACAUCACCAAAGACACGAGAGGAAACUCUGGCCCAAGCUCACCUGAUGCUCAGAAUAACAGAAUUGAGACUCUAAGCCAGUGAAGGUGGCUGACCUGGGCCUGUACAGGCCAACUGCUCAUCCCUACUGAUAUUCUCACCUCACCUUUUCAGUGUGGGUGGGAAUAAACUGGGUCCCCUCUUCUCAUAGCACAGAGAGCAGACUUAGCCAUGCUUUCAGGAGGGAGGGCUGCAUGGCCCAGUGGGAGCCCCUAUAUCUGUUCCCUGCUCACCUGGCCUGCCAGCUGCCCUUUUAUCCUCUGGCUUAGGCUGACCUGGAGACAGGAUCCUGCCACUCCCUGACCUUCAUAAAGGCCCUUCAAGUUUGCCGUGUAGUUGGUGAUUAUAUUGUUUGGAUCCUGUGAAUGGAUGUUCUUAAAUUUUUGUAAUUAGCCAUCAUUACUCUUGGGUUUGAUUCCUUCUAAAAAACAUAUCUGGAAGGGAGAAUGUCAUCAGAAUGGGAAGUAGUAAACAUCUGCAUUGAGAGUUAGCAAGAUAAACAAUGGCUUCCUUGUGUGUAUCCUCCACCUCGCCUUGGCCUUUAUUGUACGAGCCCCAGGGAUCCUCGACAAGCCCCGUCCCUCGAGCAUCCCUGGGAGAGUUGGUCCAGUCCAGGCUACAGAUCCCACCUUGGAGCUGACGUCCCCUCACCUCCCCUUUCCCGCCAGACCUCCUGAACUCCAAGCAAAGCAUCCAGCCCGCUCUAAACAUCCCCACAAGGAUGCCCACGGCUCCCAUUGCAGUUGCCUUUCUCCCUGCAGGCGGAAUUGAUCUCCUUCCUCUCAAAUGUACCCUGGCUCCUGUGUUCUGUAUUCUCAUCACUGCUCCCAGUGAGACCCUGGGAGACCUCACUGACCCUCUGUACCCUUCACUUCUGUUCCCACACCACCUGGGGCCUUGCUCAGAUGCAUGCCCGCAGUCCACCUCCUCCCUCUGCUGCUGCUGCCCCUUUCCUACCUCGAGACUUGGAAGUAUUGGGAUGAGAUCUCUGACUGAAAUAUCCUGAGUGGCCUCUGCUUUCCCUGUCCCUCAUUCCUCCUCCAUUUUGCUCCCAGAACUUUCCACCAAAUGCAAAUGGCAUCAUCUUGUCCCUGUGGAUGUGUGCUUAAGUGUGUGUGUGCAUGUAUGUGUAUCUGCAUAGUGUGUCUGUCUAUGUGUGCAUUCGUGUAUGCAUUUGUACACAAAUUUACAUGUUCAUUUGUGCACAUGUAUAUCCGUAUGUAGACAUGUACACACGUGUGCACAUGCACAUGUGUGUAUAUGUCUCUCUGUGUGCAUAAUAGUCUCUGUGUAUCUGUCUGAGUGUGUGCAUGUGCACAAUUGCGUAUGUGUCUCUCUGUGUUUACAUUGUGCAGCAAGUGUGUCUGUAGUGUGUGUGUGUGUGUGUGUGCCUGGGUAUGGUAAGGAGAAGGCUCCACAACAUUCCCACUGCUACCCGGUACAGUUCUUGCUGAAAAGGGUGGAGGGACCUAUGGUGAAUGGAAACCUGUCCAAGGCCUCACUGAGGUCCCCACUCCACUAGAGGGCAGGAAGAUGCUCUGCUGUGCCUGGGAGAUGUCACCAAGGACACAAGAGAAAACUCUGGCCCAGGUCCAUGUGGGGCUCAGAAUAACAGGACUGAGACCCUAACCAAGUGCAGGUAGGUACCCAGUUCUUGCUCCAAAGGAUUCAUGAUUCCACCUUUACCAGGCCCCAGAACCCUCCAGCCCUGGCCAUGUUGCUCCUCUGCUGGACGUUCAUCACCGCUGAUGGUGGUCCCGACAAAGGUCAGGUUUGACUAUUCACAGUAGUCAAAGGGUGGAAACAACCCUGAUGUCCACCAGCUGAAGAAUGGAUGACCAAAUGCGAUCUAUCCAAGCAAUGGGAUCUCAUUCACUCAUAAAGCAAAUGAAGUUCUGACACAGCUGCAACGUGGAUGGACCUUGGAAACGUGAUACUGGGUGGAAGAAGGCAGACACCAAAGGCCACAUAUUGCAGGAUUCCAUUUAUGAGAAUGUUCAGAGUUGGCAAAUCUAGGGAGAAGGAAGUAGAUUAGUGAUUGCCAGGGGUCACAGAAGAGGGAGGAAUGAGAAGUGACUGCUAAAGCCUGAGGAAUCUUUAUGGGGUGAUGAAAAUAUUCUGGAAUUAGUGACGGGGGUGAGGGUGAGGUUGUGCCUCUCAGAAGGAGAUGGCAGGAGUUGUGUGGAGUUUCUGAACUUGAUGUGGAGCGAAAGUGCAGUGGUCAGUGAUGGUAGCUGGCCAAGUGGCCUAGGCAAUCCCCACCUGUGGCCUGGGUCCCCUCGAGGCUGACCCUAGAAGGGGUGAGUUGAGGUCAGUGAGCCCCCACAGAGGCAGCUCCUCGGCAGUGGGGAGUCAUUUCCUUCUGCUGAGUUGCACAGCAGGGCCUUUUAAGUGCAGAGCUGACCUGAACUGGGUCCCUCGGGAGGAGACCAGCCUGAUUCCUGCUCUAGAUGGUUCUUCCCAACCCCUUCUUAACUAGAGGUCAGGGGUCGAGUGCUCAUCUGUGCAGACGUGGUGCUCCCAUGUGUGGUGAGCAUGAGUAGACAUACGCUGCCCUCCAACCAGCAAGUAAACAGGAACAACUGGGUCAUCCAUCUGGGCCCCACUGAGAUGGAGGGGGUCUCAGGGUGUGUGGCAUAGAGAAGCAACUACUGAAGGGUGGCUGUGUGGGUCAGUCUGGCCCUAGGACCAGCUACAGUGGGUCAGGGGCUGUGGUUUGACCGCUGUUUUCUCUCUUCUGAGUGUCCUCUUGAAAGGAGGAUUCCCAGGACCUGGAGGAGCUGCUCCCUAAAGGUGAGCAGAGGUGUUUACAUGCGCUCAGGACAUGACAGGUGGGCUAUAGUGUCCACGCAGGGUGACGCUCUGAGCCCCUUCAGGAGAGAGCCUGCCAGUGAGCUGCAAGGAUGACAGUUGGCUAAAGACACCAGUGGCAGCACCCCAGGACCGAGCCCAUUGGGAGUUUGGGGAGGAGAGUGCUGAGCUGGCCUUUCCACCAUGCAGGCUCCUCCAUGGGCAGCCAUGGCUCCCAACUCCCCGCUGGGCCAGCUCGGCUCCUUGGAGAGUCUCCUGCCUCAUUUGGCUUCCUCCCUCCUGAUCUUUCUCAGGUAUCAACCCCAAGGCCCCUCUUGCUCUCUUACCCGGCUCAGUGGCCAAUUCUCAGAGGAACCAACUGAGCAAGAAAUCAGGCCCUCCCCGGACACCAGGCCCUCCAGGGUCCAGGAAUCCACUGAAAACCACUGCCCAGCACAGACCAGGCACCUGGACAGCCUGCAGGCAGGGCCAAGGCUGUUGUGGUGCAGACAGUGCUGGGGCAGGUACUGGACUUGGAUUCCCA